rnacentral:rRNA from 1 species
UACGAGGGAGCAAGCGUUGUUCGGAUUUACUGGGCGUAAAGGGCGCGUAGGCGGUCGUGACAGUCACGUUGUGAAAUCUCCGGCUUAACUCGGAACGGUCAAGUGAUACUGUCGGACUAGAGUACAAGAAGGGGCAACUGGAAUUCUCGGUGUAGCGGUGAAAUGCGUAGAUAUCGAGAGGAACACCUGGCGGCGAAGGCGG